GCUCUCUCUUUCUCCCUGCGGAGCGGCGCUGUUGGCGGGUAUGAUGGAGAAGCUUUCAGUGGUGUCCCAUAUGUUGUACAGAAGCAUUAAGCCCUUCAUGGAAGCACCAUUAGAAGCAGAAGAAUACUUGAUACACACAAGUGGAUUUUCCUGAAAGCUAUAAUGGCACAGAGUUUCUAAUAAUGGGAAUGUCAGAUACCCUGAUGAAAGAUUUGCUGGCAACUGUAGCCCAACAGAUAGAGGGAUGCUUGAACACUGCUUCUGAUUUGAAGGAAGAUGGUCAAAUAUAGGAACAAAUGCUUUUAGCUUAUUCAGUGCUGAGUUGGAACACUGUCAGUGCUGCCUGACAAAUGUAGAUGAUCUCUAACUGGAAGGAAGUGUAACACCUGAAGCGUUUUUGUGGCUUGGAGUGAAAUGCCAUGCUUUUAAAAACCUGCUGAAACAGCUGCUGCGAUUUUGUUUAGCAGAUACUGUUUUCAGAAACUGCUUGUGAAUCAAAAUCACUGUCUCUGCAUAUUUAAAACAGCGCUUUAACCAAAACACUGAGCUGCCCUCUGUAGGAAGGAUAGCAGCAAUAUUAGGGAAAUGAAUGUUGAGCUUCGAUACAUUGAAAAACCCCAGAGAGUAUUUUCCCUUUAAAAAUAUCAUAAGGGUAUCCAGACUUGAAUGAUUCUGAAGAUCGGGAAUAACUGAAAACAAUGGGACUCCCAGUUAGGCCCUGUAGAGAUGGGGAGAAAGCAAAAUGGACAUACAAAUUCAAACCAAUGAGUCUGCUUUUUGAGGGUGGUGUCCUCCAGGAGAUAGGAGGAAGCAGAUGAGGUGAUGGUGGUGCGAAAGCAUAAAUGUGAAACUCUUGUAAGAAAGAGGUGCAGGUGUCAUGAGGAAAGUCAUGGUUACAGAAAAGGCAAGGUCUAAAGCUUGCAUUGCUGUCUGUGUGGUGAGGGAGGGGGGAAUUGGGGGGUUUAUGGACUGCCACUUCAGCGUGGAAAGACCAGUACUGCAACAGUGGGGCUGCCCCAUGAGCACUACAGUGGCAAUGUAAUGGGACUUGCUGUGUGGGGAAAAGAGGUCACUAGUGGGAGAAGGGAGGAUAUGCAUUGGAACUUGUGCUUUCAGCAGUCCCUUGGAAGCCAACAGGGCUGUAUCAGUAACAGCCUACUUGCUGUGUUCAGCAAAUUGGCACUAUGCCACAGAGGCAUGGGGGAUCAUAAAUCGGUCAAUAAGUAACGUGGAUUUUAAAGACAAACCAUUGCAUGCAUAAGAUGCAGCCUGCCUUACAGCAAGACUCACACCUGUCAGGAAUGCUUUAGGAAGGAAGAAACAUGAGAAAGAUAGGACACCUAAAAUGAAUCUGAUAGGCUGUAGUUACUGAAGCACUUAAAUGCACCAGAAUACAGAAAAAUUACCCUAUAGUCUGCAGCCAAAAAUUACAGCAUUGGAUGCCAGCAGCUCUCUUCCUUUAGAAUUGGAGGAAUUCCUACAGCUCGUGGAAUGUGCUUGUAUUCAAUGAAAAGCCCAAUUUUCAGUCUAAGCAGUAUCAUCAUGAAAUGCAAAACACUACCAGUAGCAGUACCUAAAGUAUGAGGAAUCUCAAAUUUAAGUACACUACGGAUCUUGGUGAACUUUAGGAUUGUAUUGGGUCACUGAGUGUUUUGAUUAUGGUUAAUAAACACUACCAGGUGCUUUGGCUAAAGGGUGUUCCUUUUCAGCAAGUGACUCUCUAAAUCAGUAUUGAAUGUAUCAGAAUCUGCAGAAAUUUACUACAGCACAGCUUUCCCUUCUUUGCUUUCAACGGAAUUUCUCUGUGGUAACAUGUUACUGAGAAGGGUAGGUAUUGCCAUGUUUUGUACGUGCUCUUUCUUGAAUAAAGCCAAGGAUGUGAAAAACGUA